UUUUUAAAUCAAUUUAUAAUUUUAUUUUUCUUGGUGUUGUGCUUUAUAAUGUUUGCAGAUCAAGCCCAUGAAACUUGUGGAUUAUAACUAUAAAAAUACACUUCACAGCACGCAGGGCACACAUGAUUAUUGGAUGUAUUUAAGCUCCGUCUGCGAUUUGUGAUUUAUAUUUUUCAUUUGCGCAAUUUACAAAGCGGUACAUCAUUGGUGCAAUUAAACUGCAGUAAACGUGGACGCGGACGGACGACGGAGAGAACAAGACGUUCUGCCACUUGGCUGGCUCUCGUAUAAUUUUUAUUAAGUCGUUCUGGGGAAUGCACCGCCGAGGCGAGUCGAGUCGAGCCGAGUCGAGUGCUGCAUGAAGGCUGAGGGCUGGCCCAUAAACCCACAUUUCUGGCGGGGGCUGCCCUCUCGCCUGCUCUGUAUGUUAACUACGCGGAGGGGAGCGGACCAGGAACUGGAACUGGAGUCAUAAAACACGGCUAUGGGCGACAGCGUCGAAGGAUUAAAAAAUGACUGCGUGACAAAGCAUUUUAUAAUCGUCAUCUGAUUCACUUAAAAACACAUUCAUCGCCGCCACCGCUGACUCGAUGUCGGAGUUCAGACCCGCCGUGAAGCCGUGAAGCGAUCCGUAUUUGGGCUCGGGCGAACCGCAAGGGCCAAAACAAGCCAUAAACCGCCGCAAUAAAAAUGUAUCAAAUUAAGGAAUAAAUUUCAUGUGCAUCAGCAACAGCAGCGCGUUCUUCUUUUUACAACUGUGACUCCGAGUGCUUCAGCUGCCGUCGAGUCUAACUUGAGCAGCAUUUCACUCAAUAGAUUGCGAGUGCCUGCCCCUCAACCCUCAACACUCAACACUCGACUUUGCCGCAUUCUCACUCAAUCGAACACAGUUUUUGGUGGCUCGACGGCACUUAGCUCAUUUAUGGCUUCUAUUUGGCUGAUUGCUUAUACUACGAAAGAUUGAGAGACUUUUACUGCUAAUACCAUCGUUAGAUUCCGACUCAGAAAGAACU